rnacentral:rRNA from 1 species
UACGUAGGGUGCAAGCGUUACUCGGAAUUACUGGGCGUAAAGCGUGCGCAGGCGGUUAUGUAAGACAGAUGUGUAAUGCCCGGGCUUAACCUGGGAACUGCAUUUGUGACUGCAUGGCUAGAGUUUGGCAGAGGGGGGUAGAAUUCCACGUGUAGCAGUGAAAUGCGUAGAUAUGUGGAGGAACACCGAUGGCGAAGGCAGCCCCCUGGGUCAAGACUGACGCUCAUGCACGAAAGCGUGGGGAGCAAACAGG